rnacentral:rRNA from 1 species
ACUCCUACGGGAGGCAGCAGUGGGGAAUAUUGCACAAUGGGCGCAAGCCUGAUGCAGCCAUGCCGCGUGUAUGAAGAAGGCCUUCGGGUUGUAAAGUACUUUCAGCAGUGAGGAAGGUGGGUAUGUUAAUAGCAUAUUCAUUUGACGUUAGCUGCAGAAGAAGCACCGGCUAACUCCGUGCCAGCAGCCGCGGUAAUACGGAGGGUGCGAGCGUUAAUCGGAAUUACUGGGCGUAAAGCGCAUGCAGGUGGUUUGUUAAGUCAGAUGUGAAAGCCCGGGGCUCAACCUCGGAAUUGCAUUUGAAACUGGCAAACUAGAGUACUGUAGAGGGGGGUAGAAUUUCAGGUGUAGCGGUGAAAUGCGUAGAGAUCUGAAGGAAUACCGGUGGCGAAGGCGGCCCCCUGGACAGAUACUGACACUCAGAUGCGAAAGCUGGGGGAGCAAACAGGAUUAGAUACCCUGGUAAGCUCUGC